rnacentral:lncRNA from 1 species
AAUUGUAAGCCAGGCUGCGAAGCAGGAGGGGAGAUUCCAGGCAGAGGAAACUGCUUGGGGUAAAGAAAACAAAAAACGCAACCCCCCCAGCAUGGUGCGUACUGGAGAUGAGAAAAUGGAGGUACCAAAAAGUGGGCUCUGAACUGCAGAGCCUGGCUCCAGAGCCCUUGUAUUUGACUACUGGGAUCCACCGUUAUUCUCACAGCCGCGUUUCCCACAGGGCUGCUUUGUAUGGCCUCUUAGAAAAGUCCUGCCUGUCUCCACCAUCCAGACUAUGAUGUCCGUGAGGUCAGAGGAAAGGGAGAAUGUCUCACAUACAGAAAAUGCUUGAUCAACAUUGAUGGAAUCAUAAAUGGGCCUCAGCGGCACCUGUCCUGAGUCAGCAUCUCACAGAGGUUUUGCCAGCGCCAGCCACAUCUCCAGCAUGAAGGUGAUUGUCUGAGUGUGUCCAGUCCAGUUCCUGCCUUAAUAAAAAUCACUGCUGCAAGGGAGAGGGCUGCCAAGGCCCUGCCUCCCUCCAACCCCA